rnacentral:rRNA from 1 species
UACAGAGGGGGCAAGCGUUGUUCGGAAUUACUGGGCGUAAAGGGUUCGUAGGUGGCUUGCUAAGUCAGACGUGAAAUCCCUCAGCUCAACUGGGGAACUGCGUCUGAGACUGGCGAGCUUGAGUGCAGGAGAGGAAUGCGGAAUUCCAGGUGUAGCGGUGAAAUGCGUAGAUAUCUGGAGGAACACCGGUGGCGAAGGCGGCGUUCUGGACUGCAACUGACACUGAGGCACGAAAGCGUGGGGAUCAAACAGG